rnacentral:misc_RNA from 1 species
GAAAUGCGAUAAGUAGUGUGAAUUGCAGGCACCGUGAAUCAUCAAAUCUUUGAACGCACAUUGCACUGUCUGGAAUUCCGGACAGUAUACCUGUUUGAGUAUCAGUAACCCUCCCUCCGUCCUCAGCAAUGAGCCGGCGGGGACCUGAGUCAUCGUCUUUGGGCGCGACUUUAAAUCGAUUUGCUGGUGCGGGCAUUGCUUGCCCCUGGGCCGACAGAGUUAAUGGCACUCGUGCCGUCGCUGUCUCACCAGGCCGCAGCGCGUCCGCGCAGUACAAACCCACACAGUUUUUGGCUGUGAUCUUGAUCUCAAAUCAGGUAAGACUACCCGCUGAACUUAA